UACAGAGGUCUCAAGCGUUGUUCGGAUUCAUUGGGCGUAAAGGGUGUGUAGGUGGCGCCGUAAGUCGGGUGUGAAAUUUCGGAGCUUAACUCCGAAACUGCAUUCGAUACUGCCGUGCUUGAGGACUGGAGAGGAGACUGGAAUUCAUGGUGUAGCAGUGAAAUGCGUAGAGAUCAUGAGGAAGACCAGUGGCGAAGGCGGGUCUCUGGACAGUUCCUGACACUGAUGCACGAAGGCCAGGGGAGCAAACGGG
rnacentral:rRNA from 1 species